rnacentral:rRNA from 1 species
CUCGGUGCUUUUUGCGGCAAGGAAACACCUGAUCCCAUUCCGAACUCAGCAGUUAAGCUUGCCAGCGCUGAUGGUAUCUCUAACGAGAGAGAGUAGGUCAGUGCCGAGU